GCCUUGAAUGUGUCAGUUGCUUUGCUGUCUAUUUAGGGUCAGAAAACUCUCAGAUUUCAUCAGAAAUACCUUAAUUUGUGUUCUGAAGAAGAACAAGGGUCUUACGGGUUUGGAACGACAUGAUGGUGGAUAAUUAAUGACAGAAAUUUUAUUUUUGGGUGAACCAUCCCUUUAAUACAUUAAGAUUAAUACAGAAACUAAUGUAGAUUUUGAUAUUAUAAACUCAAAGUGUAUUUAGUAUAAAGCAUGAGUUUUCCUACAUUUUCUGUUGGUUUUAUUCCAUUAACCCCGAAUAAUCCAGUCUUCUCCAGUCACAGUCUGUGCCUAACCUGUGUUAGCUUCAUUUCAGUAAAGCAAACUGAGAGUGAAGGCGGCAAUAUGGGUCUCAAAACACCUGGCAGUGCCAGACUGUCUGCCAGGCUGCGCCCAGUCCCAGGAGACUGACGAUGUCAUAACUCUUGUUCUUAGCACCGUCAUUGGCAGGAAGGAUAUUAAUGACACAUUUGUGUGUGUGUGUGUGUGUGUGUGUGUGUUUUUACCCUUAGGGUAUUCUACGGUGAAGGAGGCAGGACUCAUGCCACACAUAUACACACAAACACGUGUUCCUGUCCGUUCAAAGGGUGUAUGGUGUGGGAACGGAGGUAGGGGAGGUCCCUGCAUUCUUCAUGGCCCGGACGGCCGGGUUGUCAGGGACGGGCCCGGGUGAUGAAGCCUGCAGUUUGCAGAGAUGUUCCACUCAACGGUGGUAAGAGCUGUCAGAUCUUGCCAUCGGAGCAGACUUUGCAAUCCGGGAGAUUCCUCAGGAAUUCUUACCCGUCUUUUUAUCUCUAUCUAUGUCAUGGAUCACAUCUGGACAUUUUCCCAAACCCUUUCUGGAAUUUAUUUUCAGUGCUGUAAGAAAAACAAUGACAAGGACACGCACUGAGAAAGUCUUUGUGAUAACUUCAACAAGAACAUAUAGUGGAGCAGAUGGUGGCCCUUACUGGAGGGACGAGAAGGAAAGGGAAGCUGGAACCUGUUUACCUCCCAAAAAUCCCCAUGUUGUUCGCUGGGGAACACAGAGCCACGAAUGUUUUCACCUUCCUGCAUGCUGAUCCCAUGCUUCUUCUCACAUGAUGAAGCUUCUGGGUAAGCUUUAGUCACCUCUCCAAAGAUUACAGUUUGUAAAACACAAGUGUUGACAGGUAAUUCAGCUAAUGGUGUUACAAGGCCUCAUUCUGUUGUUUGCAUCCAUUUAUACUGGUUCAACUUACGCUCAAAAAAUGCUGCUUCCUCCAUUUAUUUAGUUAAAAUGAACUAAUGCAUAAAUUCAUUUCAAUACUUUUAUAUAAAAUUACUUAAUCCGUUUGCAACAAGACCACAUGGAUAAUUUCUAUUCACUCAGGAAGGGGAUUUCCACUUCCCAGCAUGCUUUGCACACAGCUGAAUGGGAAGAUUAAAUGUUAGAAUUAAGUGUUUGGCCUAUUUUAUGUGUUUCGGAGCAAGAUAAAGAAAGAAGGGAGACUUUGCUUGUGUUUAAUGUUCCAUUAUGUUGGGAUUUAAAGCCGUUUUUUAUGAUGUUUUAUGCAUUUAGGGGUUACCUUGUGUUGGUUUGAGGUGUUUACAGCUUAGUUUAUUAAGAAAAGCCACUUCCGACUGUCCACAUUUGAGUUAAUAUUAUCUAAAGAAUUGCUGUUUUGAGUGCACUCGCAUGCUAGUCUGUUUAGCUAAUCACACAGUUUUCCUUUCGGCUGCCAUGCCUCACUCCUCAAGUGUGUCAGCCUGUCAUCUGUCCUUGUCUGGAUAGCUUCUUUUGCCUCUUAAUUUUUCUCGCCGGAUCUUGUUGACUUUAGCAAAGGCUUGAGGCCCGCUGAGUCAGAAGCUUGUGUGGUCAAACAAGCCGUGAGGAGAGGUAGCCUGCACUGUCAUUAUCUAGAUUUCAUAUCGCCGAUGACCGGCAUCUUCAUCAUCCUGUUCUUGAGGAUCAUCAUCCUUCCCUGCAUGUGUUUGAAUCAUCUCCCAUUUCCUGUUGUUGAUGUCACUCAGCAGGGAAAUGGACAGACACAUAGGAGCCAGUAUACUAAUGAAAUGACCUCAGAUACCCGUCCGCUCACCUGUGCUUUUCGCUGAACGUAACAUAUCCUCAGCAUCACUUAAAUGUGACUAAUCAAUGCUAAUCAAUAUGGCAAAUCUUGAUAACUUUGUUAGCUUGCUGCACUCAUCCUAGCUGGGAGUUAACCAGGCAUUGUGGGAAGACUUGGGUCUUGAUCUGCUGACAUAUGCUUAUUAGAUGUACGUGCACACUGGUGGGGAUUCAGGCGUCUUGUCAGUUUUGUGUGUGUGUUUUAAUCUUAUUGAUUUUAACUGAUGAAAAUAAAAAAUAGUGAGAUACAAUAUGAUAUGAAAUAUAAAUAACCUAAAGUGCUUGAAUUUAAAAGGUAUAGAGAGAUUAAAAACAUUACUAAUUCACUCUACAUUUUAUUUCAUGUAAAUUAAUGGAUAUAUAAUUGACAUAUUAAAAUGUUUUAUACAAAAUUAAACUUUUUUAAAAAAACAAAGGUUUUACUUGCUUUUUCCUCACUGCAAAAAAGCCGUUUUGUGAUCAGGUUUGAUAAACAAUGAUGCAUGGCUUUCCUGUAAAUCCUGCUUAACUGAAACAACUGAUAUGACACAAAGAAAAUCUUUUAUUGAUUAAUUGACUCAUCAUUAUCUCCCUGGGAGUUGUAAAUAAAUAAAAUACAGUUUUUUAACAAUAGUAAAUGAUUGAGCUGUUAUGCCUCUUCCAGUAUUUUAAUAAAUCAGUGACACGUAUGUUGUGCAAUGUUAUGUAAACCUUUUCUUUUCAUAAGAAAACAAAGACAUUUUCAUAGAAUGAAAUAUAGAUAGUUAGAAACUGAAAUUACGAUGCAUUUACAGCAAAAUAAGUCAAAAACGUAGAGUACACAGAACAGUGUUACACACUUUACAAUAAUACAGUAAUUAGAGAAAAUUACAGGUAUUUAUAAUAUACAUAAUAUGCACUGUACAUUAGAAGUGUGUCUGCAUGCACAUUUCAGUAUUUACUUCACAGUUUAAAAAAAUCAAAUCACACCCUGACUUAGUGAUUUUCUCCGUUUUAACAAUAAUUUAACAGUUUCAAAGCAGGCAAUAAGCAGUUGACUUGUUGCAAAAAAAUACAGUUUUGUUUACGUAUCUGAAAAAAUAAAUAAUUUGGGUUGCCAAGUUGAUAAUUUGACUUCAAAUGUUAAUUUACAUUUUUAAUCUUCCAAGCGCUACACAGUUGCAGCCAUAACAAUUUGUUUUACAAAUUUUUGUUUUACUCACAAACGGGACAGAAACAACUUUAGCAUUAGUUUUGUCAGUUACAUUUUUAUAAUUACUUGCAUGAACAAUUCAUUACAACUGGAAAUAUGGUUUGGAGUGUCUAUACAUUAUAUAAUUUAAGUUAGCAAGAUUUUUAACACUUUUUUUAAAUCAAAUUUUAUAUUUUAAAAAAAAUGAGCAAACACAUGCAAGUGAAAAACAAAUGCAUUCCAUCUCUGCAGCAUUUACACAUCGUAACAUCUCAAAAUGGAUUUUCCGUCCUACUGAUAUAUGCACAUUAAUUCUAGUUUAGACUCUAUAUGUUGUUUUUCUUCUGAUAACCUGAUGAUAUACACUUUGAGCAGAAAUAAUACUUUCCCACCAUAAAAGAUGUUUUGACUCCAAAGCCAUGCCAGAUAUAUUUUUGGAAAUAUUUCAAGUACUCACUUUUAUUGCCCCUCAUUGUACAAAUCGCAUGGGUUCCACCGUGAACAAAAUAUGCUCUUAGCAAGCAUUUUCCAAGACAUAUCACAACACAUUUAGUCAUUUGAAAAUGUAAAUAUGAGCAGAUCAUGCAAUGUUGACAGUGGAUAUAUAUCUCUUAGUCCAGCCUGUUUUUCCAAAGAAAUCCCUGCCCCAGAACGUUCCAGAAGUGAAAAUCCUUGUUUUAUGGACAUGGAGAUAGUCCUCAUGUUUUAGUAGCAUGCUUCUGACGGUUGGUAGGAGUGUAAUGUCUGACUCGUACAGGCACUGACUCACCAUGGCUCAUCGGACAAGGCUCGAUUGGAGCCCGCCAAUUUCUCAAACACAAAGACACAAGUUUUUGAUAUGACUCUUUGUUCUAGCGCAACAGCGUUUCGCUAUACCUGUGCUGCAAAACCCCGCUGACAAAAAGAGGGGAGGAAAAGAAAAAAAGAAAAACGAAAAGGUUUAGAUCUGAGAUUAGGCUUUAGAUGUGCUAAUGCUAGCUUCUCUGUGUGUUUACAGCUGGUUGGAUUUUGGUAUGUUCUCCUCUGAGGUGUGUGGGUGUUGGUUUUGAUGGUGGAUUUUCAGUAACGUCUUUAUAAGCCUGCAUCAUUUUGCUUCUCCUUUUGCGCUUUUUUAGGCUUGAUGUGUUUGCCUUUAGUUAACCCACAUCACGGGUGGAUGAUGAUAGUGUGUUUGGUUAAUGAUUUAACAAAAUAGCCGGUAUGAGCUCAUCUAUUGUUUAUCCGUGAAGUUGCACUUUCAGAAACUCGAGUGGGCUGAGGGGCUUGCUUGCGUCUGUGAAAUGAGAGUUCAAAGAGACCGUUAUCGGCCACAUGACUGUAAAGUGAUAAAACAAAAGUCCAAAUGUGUCAGAGAGCAUCAGGUCAUGUAAAAAAAAAAAAAAAAAAAAAAAAAAAGGAGUUUA